GUGUCAGCAGCCGCGGUAAUACGGAGGGGGCGAGCGUUAUUCGGAAUUAUUGGGCGUAAAGGGCGCGUAGGCGGCCUUGCAAGUCAAAGGUGAAAUCCCUCGGCUCAACUGAGGAACUGCCUUUGAAACUGCAAGGCUUGAGGCCGGGAGGGGGUAGCGGAAUUCCCAGUGUAGCGGUGAAAUGCGUAGAUAUUGGGAGGAACACCAGUGGCGAAGGCGGCUACCUGGACCGGUUCUGACGCUGAUGCGCGAAAGCGUGGGUAGCAAACAGGAUUAGAUACCCUAGUAGUCC
rnacentral:rRNA from 1 species